rnacentral:pre_miRNA from 10 species
AGUGUCUGGGUGCAUGUCUGUGCAUGGGUGUGUGUGUAGGCACGUAUGUACACACACACACACACACACACACACAGAGACACACAUACAC